rnacentral:rRNA from 1 species
AUACGGAGGGUGCAAGCGUUAUUCGGAAUCACUGGGCGUAAAGGACGCGUAGGCGGGUUGGCAAGUCAGAUGUGAAAUCCUACAGCUUAACUGUAGAACUGCAUUUGAAACUGCUAACCUAGAGUAUGGGAGGGGGAGAUGGAAUUAGUGGUGUAGGGGUAAAAUCCGUAGAUAUCACUAGGAAUACCGAAAGCGAAGGCGAUCUCCUGGAACAUAACUGACGCUAAGGCGUGAAAGCGUGGGUAGCAAACGGGAUUAGAAACCCUAGUAGUCC